rnacentral:rRNA from 1 species
GUAACGCGUAUGCAAUCUACCUUAAUCUGGGGGAUAGCCUCUCGAAAGAGAGAUUAAUACCGCAUAACAUUAUGAUAUGGCAUCAUAUUAUAAUCAAACAUUUAUGGGAUUAAGAUGAGCAUGCGUGACAUUAGCUAGUUGGUGAGGUAACGGCUCACCAAGGCGACGAUGUCUAGGGGAUCUGAGAGGAUGACCCCCCACACUGGUACUGAGACACGGACCAGACUCC